AGAAGUUCAUUAAACCUUAUCAUUUAGAGGAAGGAGAAGUCGUAACAAGGUUUCCGUAGGUGAACCUGCGGAAGGAUCAUUGAACACACGAUCUCGGAAAAACCUUGCGAACCGUUGUCUGUAUCCUGAGGGGUCGUGCCUGGAGGCACGACCGUCGGUGUCGAAGUCAGGAUUCACGUGCAGUCGCCGUGAUCCUCCUCCCGUUGGUGCGUGGCGGGAAUGCGUUGCUUCAGGCUUACCGUCGAGCGCCCCGCUGACACGCGUGGUUUUGGUGUCUGCCCGAGUGCGAGUCGAGAUCGUGGGCAGCUCGAAGCUGCGGGGGUGAAGCCCCUCGCGGCGCGACGCCUCUUCUCGAUGGCGCGCGCGAGACUCGAAAUCGAGGGGUGCGCUCCCUCCUCCGAGGAGAGGAGGCUUCCCCGAGAAGCGAAAGCAUCUCCCCGGGGGCCUCCUCUCCUUCGGUGCCCUUUUUUUUCUUCUCUUCUUUCCCCACCGAGGAACACGUUGGAACGAGCUUUUUAUGGACUGAGGUGAGGCGAGGGAUGACCUUCGGAUUCGGAGAGCGCAGCGCAACGUCGAGCUGCGGGAGUCCGCGUGUAUCCGUGGUCCCGGGCUCCCCCUCAGAAGCGGAUGCGGCAGCGACGAAAUCCGUUUGUGUGAUCCCAAGCCCAACGGAAAGUGCAAAACACAAAUGACUCUCAGCAACGGAUAUCUUGGCUCUUGCAACGAUGAAGAACGCAGCGAAAUGCGAUACCUAGUGUGAAUUGCAGAAUUCCGCGAAUCAUCGAGUUUUUGAACGCAAGUUGCGCCCGAGGCUCGUUCCGAGGGCAUGCCUGCCUGAGCGUCCGCUCUGACCCACCCACUAACCUUCCUCCUCCUCCUCCUCCUCCCUCGGGAGGGGGGAGAGAGAGAGAGGGAGGUCGGAGUGCGCGUGGAAUUGGCCGUCCGGGAACCCGUCCGUCCUCUCCAGUGGUGGGCGGCCGAAGGAUUUGCGGUCGGCUGAAAAAAAACGGGAACCGUCCGUCGAGCGCGCACAGGGGGAAAGGAUGCGUCGCGAAAAGGUGCCGUCCUCUCUAACAUCGCCGUCCUCGGCUAGAGACGGGCGUUGGUAACACGGAAGCGUCGUGCCUCUCCUGUGGAGUUCGAUACUCGGCGGAUCGGUGGGUGAUCAAAAUGGGAACGGAAUGACUCCCGACAUCUUUCCCCGGCGUCUCGCCUUUCCGAGCGAGUGAUCGGGGAGCUGCGCGAGUCUGCACGUGACGAUGUUCGGACCUCAGAUCAGGCAAGACCACCCGCUGAGUUUAAGCAUAUCACUAAGCGGAGGAAAAGAAACUAACAAGGAUUUCCCUAGUAACGGCGAGCGAACCGGAAGUAGCCC
rnacentral:rRNA from 1 species